rnacentral:lncRNA from 12 species
AUCAACUUGUACAGAUGUAGAAAUUAUUGGUGCUUAGUUGAAGAGAGCCAGGUGUCUGGAAAGCCAGACACAGAUAGUCAUAUGUACAAAUAUAGAAUGAGAAGUUUUAAGGAAAAAAAAAACAGAAAUGAGAUACUGCUUUUUUCCCUCCCUUUCUUAUUGCUCUCUGCUUUGGAAGACAUUUAACUGAUCAAAAAGUAAGCUUACUUUCUCUCUCACUUUAUAAAUGGUAUUCUGUGUACGUACAUUACGCGUGAUAGUUUCUUCUUAGUAUUCAGUAUUCUCUAGAAGAGAUGCUUUAAUUUUCCCUUUGUUUUUUGUUUUGUUUUGGACUUUGGGUAUGGAGGCUUGAGGUGACACACUUCUUGGUUUAUGACUUUCACCAUCAAUUGACAACGAAAGGCUCUGAUUCAAUGGACUGAUUGCCUUCUGUCUCCCUUUCCCACAUCCAUUUGCUUCCCUCCACUCACAUGCUACCAUUCUAAUACCAUUCAUAUAAAUCAUUUUAGUUGGAUGUGUUCUUAUAAAACGUGGGCCCGCAUUAUUCAUUUAAAUUAAUGAACAUUCCUCCGCUCAUUAUCUUUUAGACUACAUGAUAGAAUUAAUGUUACACGACAGAAAUUACAUGAUGGAAGUUUCAGUGUUCUUCAUUAGGUUAAUGACUAGAUAUUUUUUUAUUUUUCUAUUUUUUAUGUAGUAAUAUAGUUUUUGGUUGUUAGGAAGUUUGGAAUCUCAUUUUUAUUAUAUUUUCCAUUUGUUGCUGGCUGGGCUUUUUUAGCUACUGCCACAAUAAUGCUAAUAAGAACCUAAAUAACAACAAGCUCAGUGACUAUAAUAGAGACUUGGUUUUUAUUUUUGAUUAUAGUUCAAAUUACUUAUCGCUGGUUUUAUUAGCUGUAACUCCAGCAAUGUGGUAUAAUAAGCCAAUCCAAAACUCCAUGGUUUACAAAACUAAAUAUGUCUAUUUCUCUCUCAGGUGUCCUUAGGUUGACUAGGGCUCUCAGGACUGGACGAAGAACAGCUGAUCUUGGCUCUGGGCUACAGGUUGGCUGCAGGUCCACUCUAUAUGGCUCUCCAUUCUCCUUGAAACGGGAGAUACCUAAGGAAUAUUCUUCUCUUGGUGACUGGCAGGAGUGCAAGAGAACCAAACUGAACCAUUCAAAUCAAAAGAACAAAACAUCUUCCUUGAAUUCUCUGAAGUAUCAAGUGUCAUCUACCCUAAACAGCUUCUUCUAUGAGGCAGCCUUGCUGAGAGAAUGCUUUUAG